rnacentral:tRNA from 6 species
GGGUUGUUAGCUCAGUUGGUAGAGCAGCGGACUCUUAAUCCGUCGGUCGAGAGUUCGAGUCUCUCACAGCCCACCA